rnacentral:rRNA from 1 species
CCUACGGGAGGCAGCAGUGAGGAAUAUUGGUCAAUGGACGAAAGUCUGAACCAGCCAUGCCGCGUGCAGGAUGACGGCUCUAUGAGUUGUAAACUGCUUUUGUAUGAGGGCAAACACCCCUACGUUCAGGGGCUUGAAAGAAUAAUACGAAUAAGGACCGGCUAAUGCCGGGCCAGCAGCCCCGGUAAGACGGAGGAGCCAACCGUUACCCGGAUUUAUUGGGUUUAAAGGGUGCGUAGGCGGUUUGAUAAGUUAGAGGUGAAAUACCGGUGCUCAACACCGGAACUGCCUCUAAAACUGUUGAACUAGAGAGUAGUUGCGGUAGGCGGAAUGUAUGGUGUAGCGGUGAAAUGCUUAGAGAUCAUACAGAACACCGAUUGCGAAGGCAGCUUACCAAACUAUAUCUGACGUUGAGGCACGAAAGCGUGGGUAGCAAACAGGAUUAGAUACCCGGGUAGUC